rnacentral:rRNA from 1 species
GGGUCAGUAGGUUGGUCGUGCCACCGGUACGUACUGGUCUCACUGAUUCCUCCUUCCUGAAGAACCGUGAUGCCAUUAAUUUGGUGUUGCGGGGAAACAGGACUGUUACUUUGAAAAAAUUAGAGUGUUUAAAGCAAGCUAACGCUUGAAUACAUUAGCAUGGAAUAAUGAAAUAGGACGACCGAUCCUAUUUUGUUGGUUUCUAGGAUUGACGUA